CGUAACACUUCCACCUCGGUAUCUGGAAGAUACUUCUGUGACAGGAAACCAGCCGUGGAACUGAUAGUCCCCCCAUCAGGAACAAGGAUACGUGUUGUGUCAGAGUGGACCAACACUGUUCUUACUUGUCCACAUGUUGAUGGAGGAUCAGAUGUUCAGACGUGGAGCAGAGAACUCAGAGGAGAACAACAGCACAUCUGGCCCAAUGCUUUCACUGUGAAUCACCUGCUGUUUAUCAACCAUGUUCAGCCUGCUGACUCUGGACUGUAUUACUGUGAUGGGAAACCAGCUGUCUAUCUGCACGUGACCACAGAUGAGCGCUCUGACAGAGGAGAGAAAAACAUACCCCCACCACCACCCCAACAAACAACAGCACCACCUGCAGGAGAAAACUCAAGUUUGAUCCAUGAAGCUGUGGAAGUGGCCGAGAACCUCAUCAUCACUUGUCCUCUCAGUGUGGAGGGUAAAGUGACGUGGAGCAGAGAGAUACAUAGAAGGAAAGUUGACUUACUUACAUCUUAUGGUGACGCAGAAAUACGACACAUCCGUGAUGCGGACAGGUACAGUUCAUUUGCAGAUGGGUUCCUGCUAAUUGUUGGCACUUCUGUGUCAGACUCUGGAACAUACCUGUGUAAUAAUCAAGCAGCUGUGGAGCUGACAGUCAUCCCAUCAGGUGACAUGAAUCUUUAUCAAGCUUUUCAAAAAUCAAAUCAAAUGUUUAAAUCGAAGCUACACAGAAACAAAACUCAUCAGUUAAAAAUGUACAAAUGAACUGUUAUUCUCAGGAACAACAAGACGCAUCAUUUCAGAGAAGACGACGAGCACUCUGCACUGUCCUCAUGAUGCGGAAGAGUCGCAUGUCCCAGUAUGGAGCAGAAAACUCAGAGGACAGCAGCGACACAUCAGCCCUCACUCUUUCACUGUGGACCAGAUGUUGAUCAUUACAGAUGUUCAGCUUGGUGAUUCGGGACUGUACUACUGUGAUGGGAAACCUGCUGUUUAUCUGGAUGUGAUCAAAGAUGAGAGAUCUGAGAGAGGUAUCUUCUAUGAAGUAGCUGAGGUGAUGCAGAAGGUCGUUUUGACUUGUCCUCACAUCGUGGAGGGUAAAAUAACGUGGAGCAAAGAGAGGUAUGGAAU
ensembl:lncRNA